rnacentral:rRNA from 1 species
AUUGAACGCUGGCGGCAUGCUUUACACAUGCAAGUCGAACGGCAGCGCGGGCUUCGGCCUGGCGGCGAGUGGCGAACGGGUGAGUAAUGCAUCGGAACGUGCCCAGUAGUGGGGGAUAGCCCGGCGAAAGCCGGAUUAAUACCGCAUACGACCUGAGGGUGAAAGCGGGGGACCGAAAGGCCUCGCGCUAUUGGAGCGGCCGAUGUCGGAUUGGCUAGUUGGUGGGGUAAAGGCUUACCAAGGCGACGCUCCGUAGCUGGUCUGAGAGGACAACCAGCCACACUAGGACUGAGACACGGCACAGACUCCUACGGGAGGCAGCAGUGGGGAAUGUUGGACAAUGGGGGCAACCCUGAUCCAGCCAUGCCGCGUGCGGGAAGAAGGCCUUCGGGUUGUAAACCGCUUUUGUUCGGGAAGAAAUCCUCUGGGCUAAUACCCCGGGGGGAUGACGGUACCGGAAGAAUAAGCACCGGCUAACUACGUG